AACUGAUGUAUUCGAUAUUAUAGUUAUGUCUUUGUUCCUAAUUUUAAAAUAGGGAUUAAGUAACUUAUAGCAGGUGUGCAAACCUAAAUUUUAGGUAGCCUAAUGUAUAAAACUUAAGCCCACCUGAACUCAGCGGUUCAAGGAAAAUUAAUAAUAACGGUACAUCGGUUUC
rnacentral:other from 1 species